rnacentral:rRNA from 1 species
ACAAUGCGCGGAAGCGCGAUGGGGGGAUUCCAAGUGCGUGCACUAUGUGUACGCCGUUUACUAGUCUAAAACGCUAGUAGAGCAAGGGCCGGGCAAGACCGGUGCCAGCCGCCGCGGUAACACCGGCGGCCCGAGUGGUAAUCAUUUUUAUUGGGUCUAAAGGGUCCGUAGCCGGUUUGAUCAGUUCUUCGGGAAAUCUGACAGCUCAACUGUUAGGCUUCCGGGGGAUACUGUCAGACUUGGGACCGGGAGAGGUAAGAGGUACUACAGGGGUAGGAGUGAAAUCUUGUAAUCCCUGUGGGACCACCAGUGGCGAAGGCGUCUUACCAGAACGGGUCCGACGGUGAGGGACGAAAGCUGGGGGCGCGAACCGGAUUAGAUACCCGGGUAGUCCCAGCCGUAAACGAUGUUCGCUAGGUGUCAGGGACGGUGCGACCGUUUCUGGUGCCGUAGGGAAGCCGCGAAGCGAACCACCUGGGAAGUACGGCCGCAAGGCUGAAACUUAA